UACGGAGGAUCCAAGCGUUAUCCGGAAUCAUUGGGUUUAAAGGGUCCGUAGGCGGCUUUAUAAGUCAGUGGUGAAAUCCGGCAGCUCAACUGUCGAACUGCCAUUGAUACUGUAGGGCUUGAAUUAUUGUGAAGUAACUAGAAUAUGUAGUGUAGCGGUGAAAUGCUUAGAUAUUACAUGGAAUACCAAUUGCGAAGGCAGGUUACUAACAAUUGAUUGACGCUGAUGGACGAAAGCGUGGGGAGCGAACAGG
rnacentral:rRNA from 1 species